GUUCGGGAAGCACUCACCGCUCGGGGAACCGGGCCGGGUCCUGCAGCUGGAGGGGGGGGGGGUUCGGGAAGCACUCACCGCUCGGGGAACCGGGCCGGGUCCUGCAGCUGGAGGGGGGGGGUUCGGGAAGCACUCACCGCUCGGGGAACCGGGCCGGGUCCUGCAGCUGGAGGGGGGGGGUUCGGGAAGCACUCACCGCUCGGGGAACCGGGCCAGGUCCUGCAGCUGGAGGG